rnacentral:lncRNA from 1 species
ACUCUAGGAUUUAUGAUAUGCUAUGUGGCAUAUAAAAUCUGAAAAAAUCAGAAGAUAAGAUCUGCAUGCAUACAUAUGAGCAGUAGAUCUAAUCUACUUCUAAUCUGAGUUUAAAACUUGAUACCUGAGCGUAGGUUAACAAUCACCACUACUGAUGAAUAUGGUAAAGAGAGUUCUCACUAUUUUCUCAUAACCAUACACAUGUUCGGCC